GGCUUGUGCCAGUGCUGAAAAUAUAUAGUGCACGUAAUGUUUAUUAUACUAUUAAUAGCUAACAAUUAAAUAUUGGAACACAAUCUAUCCGUUAGCUCGGUCUAAAGAUACUGGUAGUGUCUCGGCGCUAAACUACGCGUAGCGACACUGUUGUGGUUAGCUUAAUCGGAGAUCCGAGAGGUAUUAACGCGCGAAUUUGAAGAUGAGUAAACACGGAAAAUAUAAAAAACACUAUUGCAAAGAAUGGGAAUCGCAAAAGAAAAGAUUUUUACAGAUUGGCUAGAAGAGAACAAAGACACGUUUGUCACAAUCGAUAACAAAGAGGCUCGAUGUAAAGUAUGAAAUAAAUUUACGCGCACAACAUGCAAAUCUUAUAAAACAUGCCAACCGAACUCUUUAUAAACGAAAUAUGAAUAAAUAUGCGUGUUUAGCCUAAAUUAAAAUAUGAUGCAAUUGCAGCCACUAUAGAAGCUAUAGAUAUCAAACUUACUGUUCACUUAUAGUAGACGAAUCCACUGACUUGUCAGUGUAUAAAUAUCUCGCAUUCUGUAUCCAAAACUUCAGUAAAAAGAGACAGCAAAUUAUUACCGACUUUCUUGGCUGUAUCAGCUUAACUGAAGCUAGUGCAAAAGAUCUUUACAGUAAAGCUACAAUAGAAUAUCUUGCAACUAUAAAACUUGAUGUUAAAAAUAUGGUAGGAUUCGGUACUGAUAACGCGAGCACUAUGAUUGGCUGCAAUCAUUCCCUAUAUAGACUUCUCUAUGAUCGUCAUGAAUGUAUGAAAUCAAAAAUAUAUGCUUAUCUCUUUCAAA